rnacentral:lncRNA from 1 species
UCUUUUUGUCCAAUCCAGAGUACAUUGCUGAAUGAGUAUUUAUAUAUUUGUUUAUUUUUUCCAUAUUUUCAACCCAUUUGCCUGUGUAUUAUUUGAACCAAGAGGGCUAAAUUGGAUUAAAAGAAUUGAAGAGGUAGAAGAGACAAAAAAAGGAGUCUUGUGAAGACAUAGUGAAAAGACAGCUGUCUGAAAGCCAGAGAAACAGUCCUCAUGGGGCAAUUGAAUCAUCUAACACCUUGAUCUUGGAGUUCUCAUCCUCCAGAACUGAUUUAUUAUCUUGGCAUCUGCUUUGAAAAGGACCCAACCAAAACAAUAUUAUAUCAGCAUAAAAUCUAAGGAUUGCUUUCUGUAAUGAAGAUUUUGUCAUCUUAGACUAGGAAGAUGAAGAAAACAUCUUAAAGAUGAAAGAAUAGUGAGCCAUGGCCCAUGAGAACU